rnacentral:rRNA from 1 species
AUUGAACGCUGGCGGCAGGCCUAACACAUGCAAGUCGAGCGGAGCGGCGGACGGGUGAGUAAUGCCUAGGAAUCUGACUGGGAGUGGGGGAUAACGUCCGGAAACGGGCGCUAAUACCGCAUACUCUCAGAUGAGCCUAGGUCGGAUUAGCUAGUUGGUGGGGUAAAGGCCUACAAAGGCGACGAUCCGUAACUGGCCUGAGAGGAUGAGCAGUCACACUGGAACUGAUACACGGUCCAUACUCCUACGUGAGGCAGCAUUGGGGAAUAUUGGACAAUGGGCGAAAGCCUGAUCCAGCCAUGCCGCGUGUAUGAAGAAGGCCUUCGGGUUGUAAAGUACUUUCAGUCGGGAGGCGUUACCGACAGAAGAAGCACCGGCUAACUCCGUGCCAGCAGCCGCGGUAAUAC